ACCGAUGUGCAUGAUUACGAAGUGAAAAUGCGCAACGUCAUCAAAUUCCUCGAAAAUGGCGACAAGGUGAAGGUCACCCUGCGCUUCCGUGGUCGUGAGAUGGCGCACCAGAAUCUGGGCCUCGAACUGCUCAACCGCGUCCGCGACGAUGUGGGCGAAUUGGGUAAGGUCGAAAGCAUGCCCCGGCUGGAAGGCCGCCAGAUGGUGAUGAUGAUCGGCCCGACCCGCUAGGCGUCUCGCAUCUUGAGACCAGAUCGAACCCUCCCUGACUGGGGAGGGUUUUUUCAUGCCCGCCGCAUGAGCCUGGUCCGGACAUGGCCGAGCGGACACCUGCUGCGCCGA
rnacentral:misc_RNA from 1 species